rnacentral:rRNA from 1 species
CCUACGGGGGGCAGCAGUGGGGAAUAUUGCACAAUGGGCGCAAGCCUGAUGCAGCCAUGCCGCGUGUGUGAAGAAGGCCUUCGGGUUGUAAAGCACUUUCAGCGGGGAGGAAGGCGUUAAGGUUAAUAACCUUGUCGAUUGACGUUACCCGCAGAAGAAGCACCGGCUAACUCCGUGCCAGCAGCCGCGGUAAUACGGAGGGGGCAAGCGUUAAGCGGAAUUACUGGGCGUAAAGCGCACGCAGGCGGUCUGUCAAGUCGGAUGUGAAAUCCCCGGGCUCAACCUGGGAACUGCAUUCGAAACUGGCAGGCUAGAGUCUUGUAGAGGGGGGUAGAAUUCCAGGUGUAGCGGUGAAAUGCGUAGAGAUCUGGAGGAAUACCGGUGGCGAAGGCGGCCCCCUGGACAAAGACUGACGCUCAGGUGCGAAAGCGUGGGGAGCAAACAGGAUUAGAUACCCGAGUAGUC